UGCAGUCGAACGAUGAAGCCGCUUCGGUGGUGGAUUAGUGGCGAACGGGUGAGUAACACGUGGGCAAUCUGCCCUGCACUCUGGGACAAGCCCUGGAAACGGGGUCUAAUACCGGAUAUGACACGGGAUCGCAUGGUCUCCGUGUGGAAAGCUCCGGCGGUGCAGGAUGAGCCCGCGGCCUAUCAGCUUGUUGGUGGGGUGAUGGCCUACCAAGGCGACGACGGGUAGCCGGCCUGAGAGGGCGACCGGCCACACUGGGACUGAGACACGGCCCAGACUCCUACGGGAGGCAGCAGUGGGGAAUAUUGCACAAUGGGCGAAAGCCUGAUGCAGCGACGCCGCGUGAGGGAUGACGGCCUUCGGGUUGUAAACCUCUUUCAGCAGGGAAGAAGCGCAAGUGACGGUACCUGCAGAAGAAGCACCGGCUAACUACGUGCCAGCAGCCGCGGUAAUACGUAGGGUGCGAGCGUUGUCCGGAAUUAUUGGGCGUAAAGAGCUCGUAGGCGGCUUGUCGCGUCGGAUGUGAAAGCCCGGGGCUUAACCCCGGGUCUGCAUUCGAUACGGGCAGGCUAGAGUUCGGCAGGGGAGAUUGGAAUUCCUGGUGUAGCGGUGAAAUGCGCAGAUAUCAGGAGGAACACCGGUGGCGAAGGCGGAUCUCUGGGCCGAUACUGACGCUGAGGAGCGAAAGCGUGGGGAGCGAACAGGAUUAGAUACCCUGGUAGUCCACGCCGUAAACGUUGGGCACUAGGUGUGGGCGACAUUCCACGUCGUCCGUGCCGCAGCUAACGCAUUAAGUG
rnacentral:rRNA from 1 species